rnacentral:rRNA from 1 species
UGGGGAAUAUUGCACAAUGUGGGAAACCCUGAUGCAGCUACUCCGCGUGAACGAAGAAUGUAUUCGUAUCGUAAAGUUCUGUCCUAUGUGUAGAUAAUGACAGUACCAUAGAAGAAAGCUCCGGCUAAAUACGUGCCAGCAGCCGCGGUAAUACGUAUGGAGCGAGCGUUGUCCGGAAUUAUUGGGCUUAAAGGGUACGCAGGCGGUUUAAUAAGUCGAAUGUUAAAGAUCGGGGCUCAACCCCGCACAGCAUUGGAAACUGAUAAACUUGAGUAGUGGAGAGGAAAGUGGAAGUCCUAGUGUAGUGGUGAAAUACGUAGAUAUUAGGAGGAAUACCAGUAGCGAAGGCGACUUUCUGGACACCAGCAGACGCUGAGGUACGAAAGCGUGGGGAGCAAACAGG